UUUCUGGACCAAUGUAAAUAGCUUAGCAUUCCUGUUCUUUUCUUUUGAAAAGUUGCUGAAGACAAAGACAGCAAGUUGGAAGAAAAGAAGGGAGAGAGAGAGGGCGCCUGUACUGAAAUGUUAAUGAUGAACACCGAACAGCCACCUUCUCAAAUACUUCCAAACACCAACCUGAAAUUCACAGGAGAGCUUGACAGAGGCCGAGGACGUGUGAUUUUUAAGCGAAAAUUGCAUUUCUGUAAUUCAAGAUCUAGUCACCAGGGCUUAAGCAAGAUCUUGUGCCAGCAAUCAGGCAUGGAUCAAAUGCACUUUUGCCUUCCUAAGAGAUCGCAGCAGCUGGCCGCAGAGAAUCUGGAUCAGAGCUAACAAGGGAACUUAUUGAAGCAGGAUACAGCCUAACAAUUCUUGAACAAGGAAUAGGGCAUGCCCAGGGAAGUAGAAAAUAGUAGAAGCUGAGAGGUGAAAUGUUGCCAAGAAAACUUAACUGAACCAUCUUAUCUCAAUAGCUUAUGUGUUUUAAAUAAGGGCAAAAAGACGGGCGUGGUGGCUCAUGCCUGUAAUCCCAGCACUUUGGGAGGCUGAGGUGGAAGGAUCACUUGAGGCCAGGAGUUGGAGACCAGCCUGGACAACAUAGUGAGAC
rnacentral:lncRNA from 1 species